rnacentral:rRNA from 1 species
UACGGAGGGGGCUAGCGUUGUUCGGAAUUACUGGGCGUAAAGCGCACGUAGGCGGCUUUGUAAGUUAGAGGUGAAAGCCCAGGGCUUAACCCUGGAAUUGCCUUUAAGACUGCAUCGCUAGAAUUGUGGAGAGGUAAGUGGAAUUCCGAGUGUAGAGGUGAAAUUCGUAGAUAUUCGGAAGAACACCAGUGGCGAAGGCGACUUACUGGACACAUAUU